AACGAACGCUGGCGGCAUGCCUAACACAUGCAAGUCGAACGAGACCUUCGGGUCUAGUGGCGCACGGGUGCGUAACGCGUGGGAACCUGCCUUUAGGUUCGGAAUAACUCAGAGAAAUUUGAGCUAAUACCGGAUGAUGUCUUCGGACCAAAGAUUUAUCGCCUUUAGAUGGGCCCGCGUUGGAUUAGCUAGUUGGUGGGGUAAAGGCCUACCAAGGCGACGAUCCAUAGCUGGUCUGAGAGGAUGAUCAGCCACACUGGGACUGAGACACGGCCCAGACUCCUACGGGAGGCAGCAGUGGGGAAUAUUGGACAAUGGGCGAAAGCCUGAUCCAGCAAUGCCGCGUGAGUGAUGAAGGCCUUAGGGUUGUAAAACUCUUUUACCCGAGAUGAUAAUGACAGUAUCGGGAGAAUAAGCUCCGGCUAACUCCGUG
rnacentral:rRNA from 1 species